CUCAAAUCACACCUCCCAGGAGGCUGCCCGUGCCGCCUCGUCAGACAGCCAGCCCCCGUGCAAACACCACGCCCUUUCGAAGACCAGAAGUGAGGCUUGUCCAAGAAUUCUGGACAGAAGUCGGUGCUAGAGCCAGCUCAGGAGCUCAGCGACACUGAGUGUCACCACUGUCUGGAUGGUUCUCUGGAGCUUUCACUUUCGUUUGUGACCUUGUAACUGCAACAUGACUGCACCCCACCUGCAGCCCACGUGCUGCAGCCCUGUGUCCAAUCCAGGAAGAAGAGGAGAGGACUGCCGGGUCUGGCCUUUUUAUGAGAAAAGCAAAGAUUUCCCAGAAACCUACCCACAGACUUCCGUAUCCGUUUCAUUUGCCCAAUGUGUCACACGGCCACCUCUGGAUGCAGUGGAAGCCAGAAGGGCAGGAUGCCACCAUGGCAUGGCUUGAUGAGCGAUGUGUAGGUCUUCGUCCAGGAUCUGAACCAGUGAACCCGGGGCCACUAAAGCGGAGGGCGUGAACUUAACCACCACACCACUGGGCCAGCCCCUGGAUUAGCCUUUCUUAAAAAAUGCCUUUUUCAGUUGAAUGCUUAGUUCACUUCUGCUCUAUGUUUAUUAUUUUCUAAUAUGUGCGCUUGGGGCUCUCCAUUUACUCUGGCUUUGUUUUCAUC
rnacentral:lncRNA from 1 species